AUGCCGGCGUAUGUGGAGGGGGAUGUCUACCUGGUGGUGGAGCACCCCUUCGAGUAUACCCGCAAGGACUGGCGCCGCGUGGCCAUCUGGCCCAAUGAGCGCUACUGGCUGCUGCGGCGCAGCACGGAGCACUGGUGGCACGUGCGGCGCGAGCCUGGCGGCCACCCCUUCUACCUGCCCGCGCAGUACGUGCGCGAGCUGCCUGCGCUGGGCAAAUGACCUCCCCGCGAACGGGAACGCCCGGACGAGACAACCUGCCACUGCCGCGCCGCCAGGUCCCCCCAACAGUCCCCUCGGCCCCCGAGCCGCUCACCUACGACUACCGGCUUGUGAGCGCGGCGGCGGCAGCGGGCCCCGACAGCACCCCCGCGGAGCCCCGAGGCCGCGCCAGCUCCCUGUGCGGCCCUUCGCAACGCGGCGCCGCGACCCAGCGCAGCAGCCUGGCGCCCGGCCUGCCCGCCUGCCUGUACUUGCGGCCUGCGCAGUCCCUGGACUACCUGGCGCGCGCCGCCGUCUCGCCUCCCGCCGGCCACCUCGGAAGGAGCGGCAGCUUCAAGGCUGCAGUGUGGCGGGUUCCUGGAUGUGCCCGCGGCCCCUGGCGCGCAGCGACUCAGAGACCGUCUACGAGGCCAUCCAGGAUGUGCACGGCCCGCCGCGGGAGGAGAGCGGGGAACAG
rnacentral:lncRNA from 1 species